AAAAACAUUUCUUCCUAGAUUAGGAGGUAAGGCCUGCUCACUGAAAAUUUAAAGAGCCGCAGUAUCCUAACUGUGCUAAGGUAGCAUAAUCAUUAGUCUUUUAAUUGAAGACUGGUAUGAAUGGCUUAACGAGAGAUUGACUUUUUUUAUUAUACAAAUUUAAUUUAAUUUUUUAGUGAAAAAGCUAAAAUUUUUCAGAAAGACGAGAAGACCCUAUAGAGUUUUAUGUUUUUUUAUAUUUUUUAUUAUUAGAUUUUUAAAUAAUUAGUAUAAUUAAACAUUUUGUUGGGGCGACAUUAAGAUAAAAAAAACUCUUAUUUUUUAAAAUUUUUUUAAAAAUUUAAAUUGAUCCUUUAAAAAAGAUUAUAAGAAAAAAUUACCUUAGGGAUAACAGCGUAAUCUUUUUUGAGAGUUCUAAUCGACAAAAAGGUUUGCGACCUCGAUGUUGGACUAAAAUUUAGACAAGGUGCAGCCGCUUUGUUUUUAGGUCUGUUCGACCUAUAAAA
rnacentral:rRNA from 1 species